rnacentral:rRNA from 1 species
GAUGAACGCUGGCGGCGUGCCUAAUACAUGCAAGUCGAGCGAACGGACGAGAAGCUUGCUUUUCUGAUGUUAGCGACGGGCGGGUGAGUAACACGUGGAUAACCUACCUAUAAGACUGGGAUAACUUCGGGAAACCGGAGCUAAUACCGGAUAAUAUUUUGAACCGCAUGGUUCAAAAGUGAAAGACGGUCUUGCUGUCACUUAUAGAUGGAUCCGCGCUGCAUUAGCUAGUUGGUAAGGUAACGGCUUACCAAAGCAACGAUGCAUAGCCGACCUGAGAGGGUGAUCGGCCACACUGGAACUGAGACACGGUCCAGACUCCUACGGGAGGCAGCAGUAGGGAAUCUUCCGCAAUGGGCGAAAGCCUGACGGAGCAACGCCGCGUGAGUGAUGAAGGUCUUCGGAUCGUAAAACUCUGUUAUUAGGGAAGAACAUAUGUGUAAGUAACUGUGCACAUCUUGACGGUACCUAAUCAGAAAGCCACGGCUAACUACGUG